AUGAGGAACGAUUCCAAAUCAUGUCUCCUGUUCAUCGGCAGUAAAUCAGAGACCCAUAUGCGUACACGAAUGAGGAACUUUCUUCGAAAACAAGGAAAUCUCAUUGCAGAUCAUAUUGACGGAAUAUGGGUAUCUGGUAGCGGCGUUCUUACGAGUCGCCCGAGAGCAAGAUUAGGACUCAUCGGCUAUCUACUACUCAUGCAUAUAUGGCUAAUGGGGACAAUAUUAUAG